UCCCACCGUUUUUGGCAAUGGUAGAACUCACACCGGUGAGGUAAUGGGACCCGGUGGUUCUAGACUUGCCAACUAUGGUGUAAGU
rnacentral:pre_miRNA from 19 species